rnacentral:rRNA from 1 species
GACGUAGGGCGCGAGCGUUGUCCGGAUUUAUUGGGCGUAAAGAGCUCGUAGGCGGCUUGUCGCGUUGUCCGUGAAAAUUUACCGCUCAACGGUGAACUUGCGGGCGAUACGGGCAGGCUAGAGUACUGCAGGGGAGACUGGAAUUCCUGGUGUAGCGGUGAAAUGCGCAGAUAUCAGGAGGAACACCGGUGGCGAAGGCGGGUCUCUGGGCAGUAACUGACGCUGAGGAGCGAAAGCGUGGGGAGCAAACAGG